GGAGAAAUGGGAGCGAUCUGGAAGGGGUCUGCAAAACCCGGGUUGGAUUAGACAGAGAUGGGAGGAACGAAGGCAGCUGCGACAGGGCCAAAUGCACCCCGGGCACGCAAAUUUCGGGCCGGAUUCUUCCUCGGGAGACGGAGUAAUGCGUCAUGCCUAAUGCAGUGGGAAUAAGCAAGACCUGGCCUAGAGCUCCCAGACCUGGGCUCGCAGGGGUCUCCGGGAAGGGGCUAUUUAGUGGCUGAGGCGGCGUGGGCUGCCCUCGUCUUCCUGGCAGCGACGUGCAAGAAGGAGGGGCAAAAGGAGGGCUGGACUCGGGCACGAAAGGAUCUGGAGCGCUGGCUGCACCGAAGCAGGCAGAACUUCUCAAAUGUCACCUCUGGAUCACAGUGCGGACGCUGCACCUUCCUCACUCCCAAGAAACAAGAGUCCAGGAAGCCACCCAGGUCCAGUCUGAGCAACAGCUGGCAGGCAGCUAUGGUGGUCCAUUCCCAGUAAGGCACCAACUGGGAGGGGAGGCCAGUUGGGUUGCACUUCCCACCCCGACCGCUAGGGGCCGCUGCCCCGCUGCUCUGCGGCCGCCAGGUGAGGAGGAGGCCCCGCCUCUUCCCCAGCAGGUGCUCAGGUUGGUCGAGAGGGUAGGGGACUGGAGUAAAGAGAGCAGGGCUGGGGGAGGAGUUGGGGGGACGAAAUGGGGGUGAAGGGAGAGAGCUGAGCGAGUCCCACGUAGAGGAUGCUGAAAGAGGUGAGGUUGGAGGAGGCAGGUGAGGAGCCAGAGAUGGUUGACUGAGUGCUUGCGAGAAAGCAGGGGAGAGGAGGGGGAGUUGAGGUGUCUGGAGGAGAGAGGAGUUGGGGAGGGGGGGAAACUGAGGGUAUAGAGCAAAGUUAAGGGAAGGAAGACGGGUGAGCAGGUGAGGAGUCAGGGAUGGCCCUGGAGGUGAGGUGGACGUGACUGGGGGACAUUUGGACAGUGCGUGGGGACUGCUGGGAUGGUUGAGGGCUGGGCCUGGUCUGUGGGAAAUGAGGGACCCCAGAGAAGGCACCUGGCACUUUGCCAGUCGUGGCUGGUACGGACAGUGGGGGCGGGGGGGAGGAUAGUUUCUCAGAU
rnacentral:lncRNA from 1 species